rnacentral:rRNA from 1 species
CCUACGGGAGACUGCAGUGAGGAAUAUUGGUCAAUGGACGAGAGUCUGAACCAGCCAAGUAGCGUGAAGGAUGACUGCCCUAUGGGUUGUAAACUUCUUUUAUAUGGGAAUAAAAUGUUCCACGUGUGGGAUUUUGUAUGUACCAUAUGAAUAAGGAUCGGCUAACUCCGUGCCAGCAGCCGCGGUAAUACGGAGGAUCCGAGCGUUAUCCGGAUUUAUUGGGUUUAAAGGGAGCGUAGGUGGAUUGUUAAGUCAGUUGUGAAAGUUUGCGGCUCAACCGUAAAAUUGCAGUUGAAACUGGCAGUCUUGAGUACAGUAGAGGUGGGCGGAAUUCGUGGUGUAGCGGUGAAAUGCUUAGAUAUCACGAAGAACUCCGAUUGCGAAAGCAGUUCACUGGACUGCAACUGACACUGAGGCUCGAAAGUGUGGGUAUCAAACAGGAUUAGAUACCCGAGUAGUC